CCUACGGGAGGCAGCAGUGAGGAAUAUUGGUCAAUGGGCGGAAGCCUGAACCAGCCAAGUCGCGUGAGGGAAUAAGGCCCUACGGGUCGUAAACCUCUUUUGCCGGGGAGCAAGGGCCGGGACGAGUCCCGGUCCGGAGAGUACCCGGAGAAAAAGCAUCGGCUAACUCCGUGCCAGCAGACGAGGUAAUACGGAGGAUGCGAGCGUUAUCCGGAUUUAUUGGGGUUAAAGGGGGCGUAGGCGGGCUUUUAAGUCAGCGGUAAAAAUUCGGGGCUCAAACCCGUCCGGCCGUUGAAACUGGGGGCCUUGAGUGGGCGAGAAGAAGGCGGAAUGCGUGGUGUAGCGGUGAAAUGCAUAGAUAUCACGCAGAACCCCGAUUGUGAAGGCAGCCUUCCGGCGCCCUACUGACGCUGAGGCACGAAAGUGCGGGGAUCGAACAGGAUUAGAUACCCCUGUAGUC
rnacentral:rRNA from 1 species